GACGAACGCUGGCGGCGUGCUUAACACAUGCAAGUCGAACGGUAAGGCCCUUCGGGGUACACGAGUGGCGAACGGGUGAGUAACACGUGGGUGAUCUGCCCUGCACUUCGGGAUAAGCCUGGGAAACUGGGUCUAAUACCGGAUAGGACCACUGCCUGCAUGGGUGGUGGUGGAAAGCUUUUGCGGUGUGGGAUGGGCCCGCGGCCUAUCAGCUUGUUGGUGGGGUGAUGGCCUACCAAGGCGACGACGGGUAGCCGGCCUGAGAGGGUGACCGGCCACACUGGGACUGAGAUACAGCCCAGACUCCUACGGGAGGCAGCAGUGGGAAUAUUGCACAAUGGGCGCAAGCCUGAUGCAGCGACGCCGCGUGAGGGAUGACGGCCUUCGGGUUGUAAACCUCUUUCAGCACCGACGAAGCGCAAGUGACGGUAGGUGCAGAAGAAGGACCGGCCAACUACGUGCCAGCCGCCGCAGUAA
rnacentral:rRNA from 1 species